rnacentral:pre_miRNA from 1 species
UCCGAUUGUUCUCAGUCCGACUCUGAGUUAAUAGUCGCACUUGAAAAAUCGGUGU